rnacentral:rRNA from 1 species
ACAUGCAAGUCGAACGGCAGCACGGGAGCAAUCCUGGUGGCGAGUGGCGAACGGGUGAGUAAAGUAUCGGAACGUGCCCAGUCGUGGGGGAUAACGCAGCGAAAGUUGUGCUAAUACCGCAUACGAUCUAUGGAUGAAAGCGGGGGAUCGCAAGACCUCGCGCGAUUGGAGCGGCCGAUAUCAGAUUAGCUAGUUGGUGGGGUAAAGGCUCACCAAGGCGACGAUCUGUAGCUGGUCUGAGAGGACGACCAGCCACACUGGGACUGAGACACGGCCCAGACUCCUACGGGAGGCAGCAGUGGGGAAUUUUGGACAAUGGGCGAAAGCCUGAUCCAGCCAUGCCGCGUGCAGGAUGAAGGCCUUCGGGUUGUAAACUGCUUUUGUACGGAACGAAAAGACUCCUUCUAAUAAAGGGGGUCCAUGACGGUACCGUAAGAAUAAGCACCGGCUAACUACGUGCCAGCAGCCGCGGUAAUACGUAGGGUGCAAGCGUUAAUCGGAAUUACUGGGCGUAAAGCGUGCGCAGGCGGUUAUAUAAGACAGAGGUGAAAUCCCCGGGCUCAACCUGGGAACUGCCUUUGUGACUGCAAAGCUGGAGUGCGGCAGAGGGGGAUGGAAUUCCGCGUGUAGCAGUGAAAUGCGUAGAGAUGUGGAGGAACACCAAUGGCGAAGGCAGCCCCCUGGGUCGAUACUGACGCUCAUGCACGAAAGCGUGGGUAGCAAACAGGAUUAGAUACCCUGGUAGUCCACGCCCUAAACGAUGUCAACUGGUUGUUGGGAAUUAACUUUCUCAGUAACGAAGCUAACGCGUGAAG